AGGCUUCAAGCAGCGAAAGCGCGAGAAAGUGCGAGAAAAUGGCGAGAAACUCCGUUCUUCUGCGACACCUCCUUCGAUUCUCUCCCUCGUCUCGCGCUCGUUCUUCUUCUCUGAUCGAGACCCUAGCUUCAUCUCCGACUGCUGUCCCAUCCCCUCCCAUUCAUACAAUUUCCUCCUUUUUCAGCACCGCCACCGCUAACUCUCAGUUCUCGCAGCCUUUUUUCAAUUACCGUACACUUUGCUCUUCCUCAGGUCAAUCAAAAAUUGCUCUGAUUAAAUCAGAAGAAGAGUUCAAUACUUCACUCAGCAAGGCUCAAGAUGAAUCUUUGCCUGCAAUUUUCUACUUCACUGCAGUAUGGUGUGGGCCUUGCAGGUUUAUAGCUCCUAUCAUAGCAGAGUUGAGUGAGAAGUACCCUCAUGUCACCACAUACAAGAUUGACAUUGAUCAGGAUGGGCUUGAAAACACCCUAAGAAGGUUAAAUAUUGCCUCCGUGCCAACACUCCACUUCUUUCAAAAUGGGAAAAAGGCAGCUGAAAUAAUCGGUGCUGAUGUUGCCCGCUUGAAGGAUACCAUGGAUAAACUCUACAAGUAAUUCCCCAGUGGUUUGCCUUUCUGCAUUGUGUAUGCUUUUGCAUGGAUUUUUCUUUGAACAAGGGCUUCCAUAGUUGGCUUCAGGGCUAUAAACGGAAGGACUGAGAAGAUUUUCCAGGGUGGGAGCUGAUGGCACAUGAUAGCUAAUCUGAUGGGUGAUAAAGCUUUCUUCAGAAAGGAGAAAAGGUAUCAAUGUUGAGACUGGGUUUAGUCAGGAUUGGCUUAGCUUUGAGUCUACGAGGCAUUUUACAUAUCGUAAAUUACAUAAGACCUGAUUAUCAAUUCACUGGUAUGAGAAAACCUCAGUAUCAAAAUCUCCGUUUUGCUUCCAAAUCUAUGGAAAUCGGAUUGUAAUGUUGUCAUCGGUUCAUUGUCAUUCAAUUGAUAAAUGAGUUUCUGAUUCAUUAUCAGAGCUCACUCCCAUUGCCAACA